AGAGUUUGAUCCUGGCUCAGGAUGAACGCUAGCGACAGGCUUAACACAUGCAAGUCGAGGGGCAGCACGGUGUAGCGAUACACUGGUGGCGACCGGCGCACGGGUGAGUAACACGUGUGCAACCAACCCCGUACCGGGAGAUAACCCGCGGAAACGUGGACUAACAUCCCAUAACACUCUUCCAUCGCAUGAAGGAGGAUUUAAAACCCCGGUGGUACGGGACGGGCACGCGCGACAUUAGGUAGUUGGCGGGGUAACGGCCCACCAAGCCGACGAUGUCUAGGGGUUCUGAGAGGAAGGUCCCCCACACUGGAACUGAGACACGGUCCAGACUCCUACGGGAGGCAGCAGUGAGGAAUAUUGGUCAAUGGGCGAGAGCCUGAACCAGCCAAGUCGCGUGAGGGAAGAAUGGUCUAUGGCCUGUAAACCUCUUUUGUCAGGGAAGAAUAAGGAUGACGAGUCAUUCGAUGCCAGUACUUGACGAAUAAGCAUCGGCUAACUCCGUGCCAGCAGCCGCGGUAAUACGGGGGAUGCGAGCGUUAUCCGGAUUUAUUGGGUUUAAAGGGCGCGUAGGCGGGACGUCAAGUCAGCGGUAAAAGACUGCAGCUAAACUGUAGCACGCCGUUGAAACUGGCGCCCUGGAGACGAGACGAGGGAGGCGGAACAAGUGAAGUAGCGGUGAAAUGCAUAGAUAUCACUUGGAACCCCGAUAGCGAAGGCAGCUUCCCAGGCUCGGUCUGACGCUGAUGCGCGAGAGCGUGGGUAGCGAACAGGAUUAGAUACCCUGGUAGUCCACGCCGUAAACGAUGCUCACUGGAUCUUGGCGAUACACGGCCAGGGUUCAAGCGAAAGUAUUAAGUGAGCCACCUGGGGAGUACGUCGGCAACGAUGAAAC
rnacentral:rRNA from 1 species